AUUGAACGCUGGCGGAAUGCUUUACACAUGCAAGUCGAACGGUAGAGGGGGCAACCCCUCGAGAGUGGCGAACGGGUGAGUAAUAUAUCGGCACGUGCCAAGUCGUGGGGGAUAACGUAGCGAAAGUUACGCUAAUACUGCAUACGAUCUAAGGAUGAAAGCGGGUGAUCGCAAGACCUCGCGCGAUUGGAGGGGCCGAUAUCAGAUUAGGUAGUUGGUGGGGUAAAGGCUCACCAAGCCAACGAUCUGUAGCUGGUCUGAGAGGACGACCAGCCACACUGGAACUGAGAGCCGUUCCAGACUCCUACGGGAGGAAGCAGUGUGGAAUUUUGGACAAUGGACGCAAGUCUGAUCCAGCCAUUCCGCGUGCAGGAUGAAGGCCCUCGGGUUGUAAACUGCUUUUGUACGGAACGAAAAGGUCUCUCUUAAUACGGGGGACUCAUGACGGUACCGUAAGAAUAAGCACCGGCUAACUACGUGCCAGCCGCCGCCGUAAUAC
rnacentral:rRNA from 1 species